rnacentral:tRNA from 1 species
GCCUGCCUGACUCAGUCAGUGGAGUGUGGGACUCUUGAUCUCAGGAUCAUGAGUUCAAGCCCCAUGUUGGGUA